GAUUGGGUGAAUCGUGACAGAGGACGCCUCAC
rnacentral:sRNA from 1 species